rnacentral:rRNA from 1 species
UACAGAGGGUGCAAGCGUUGUUCGGAAUUACUGGGCGUAAAGCGCGUGUAGGCGGCCUAGCAAGUUGGGUGUGAAAUCCCUCGGCUCAACCGAGGAGCUGCAUUCAAAACUACUAGGCUAGAGUAUCGGAGGGGGUGGCGGAAUUCCCGAUGUAGAGGUGAAAUUCGUAGAUAUCGGGAGGAACACCUGUGGCGAAGGCGGCCACCUGGAAGAUUACUGACGCUGAGACGCGAAAGCGUGGGGAGCAAACAGG